rnacentral:rRNA from 1 species
AUUGAACGCUAGCGGGAUGCUUUACACAUUCCAGUCGAACGAGUGGCGGACGUGUGAGUUAUAUAUCGUAACUUGCCCAGUCGCGGGUUAUCACUACUCGACAGAGUGGCUAAUACCUCAUACUCUUGGUGCGGCCGCUCUCGGAUUAGCUAGUUGGUGGGUUACAGGCUCACCAGGGCAACGAUCCGUAGCUGGUUUGAGAGGACGACCAGCCACACUGGGACUAGGACACGGCCCAGACUCCGACGGGAGGCAGCAGUGGGGAAUUUUGGAAAAUGGGGGAAACCCUGAUCCAGCCAUCCCGCGUGUAUGAGAAGGCCUUCGGGUUGUAAAGUAAUUUUGGCAGAGAAGCGGUAUCUGCAGAAUAAGCACCGGCUAACUACGUGCCAGCAGCCGCGGUAAUAC